rnacentral:misc_RNA from 1 species
AAGUCGUAACAAGGUCUCCGUAGGUGAACCUGCGGAAGGAUCAUUAACACUGAAAUCAUUGGAUCACAACUUUUUUUCGAAGUUGUGUUCCACAUGUCUACCCACUCUUGGACGCACUCUUGAGACUGCGAAAAUCAGUCGCUUUUUUUCUCCCCAUUUUUUAAACCCAACCCCACACCAAAAUACACAUAACCAAUGCCAAUGACUGAUAUCACCAGUUUGUUAUAAAUUGUAAAACAACUCUUAACAACGGAUAUCUUGGCUCUC